rnacentral:rRNA from 1 species
CAAGUCGAACGAGAAAGGGGAGCAAUCCCUGAGUAAAGUGGCGUACGGGUGAGUAACACGUGGAUGAUCUACCUUCUAGUGGGGAAUAACCCUGGGAAACCGGGGAUAAUACCGCAUAAGCACGAGAGUGGAAAGCAGCAAUGCGCUGGAAGAGGAGUCCGCGGCCGAUUAGCUAGUUGGCAGGGUAAAAGCCUACCAAGGCAACGAUCGGUAGCCGGCCUGAGAGGGCACACGGCCACACUGGCACUGAAACACGGGCCAGACUCCUACGGGAGGCAGCAGUGGGGAAUCUUGCACAAUGGGGGAAACCCUGAUGCAGCGACGCCGCGUGAGCGAUGAAGCCCUUCGGGGUGUGAAGCUCUUUCGGCAGGGAAGAUAGUGACGGUACCCGCAGAAGCAGCUGCGGCUAACUACGUGCCAGCAGCCGCGGUAAUACGUAGGCAGCGAGCGUUGUUCGGAGUUACUGGGCGUAAAGGGUGUGUAGGCGGUUGUUUAAGUUUGGUGUGAAAUCUCCCGGCUCAACUGGGAGGGUGCGCCGAAUACUGAAUGACUUCGAGUGCGGGAGAGGAAAGUGGAAUUCCUGGUGUAGCGGUGAAAUGCGUAGAUAUCAGGAGGAACACCGGUGGUGUAGACGGCUUUCUGGACCGUAACUGACGCUGAGACACGAAAGCGUGGGUAGCAAACAGGAUUAGAUACCCUGGUAGUCCACGCCCUAAACGAUGCAUAUUUGGUGUGGGCAGUUCAUUCUGUCCGUGCCGGAGCUAACGCGUUAAAUAUGCCGCCUGGGGAGUACAGUCGCAAGGCUGAAACUC